rnacentral:rRNA from 1 species
AUUGAACGCUGGCGGCAGGCCUAACACAUGCAAGUCGAGCGGCAGCGGAAAGUAGCUUGCUACUUUGCCGGCGAGCGGCGGACGGGUGAGUAAUGUCUGGGGAUCUGCCUGCUGGAGGGGGAUAACUACUGGAAACGGUAGCUAAUACCGCAUAACGUCGCAAGACCAAAGCGGGGGACCUUCGGGCCUCGCGCCAUCAGAUGAACCCAGAUGGGAUUAGCUAGUAGGUGGGGUAAUGGCUCACCUAGGCGACGAUCCCUAGCUGGUCUGAGAGGAUGACCAGCCACACUGGAACUGAGACACGGUCCAGACUCCUACGGGAGGCAGCAGUGGGGAAUAUUGCACAAUGGGCGCAAGCCUGAUGCAGCCAUGCCGCGUGUAUGAAGAAGGACUUCGGGUUGUAAAGUACUUUCAGCGAGGAGGAAGGCGGUAAGGUUAAUAACCUUACUGAUUGACGUUACUCGCAGAAGAAGCACCGGCUAACUCCGUG